AACCAAUCUCAUCUGGUGAGACUGAUUCAAAAGUAAAAUCUAUAUGAUGAAUUCAUUCAUGUGAAAUCAUUUAUGUGAAAUUUUACAGAGAUGAAUUCAUUUAUCUUAGAUCAAUGAUUCAGACUCAACAAGAUAACUUUUUUUUUUUUUUUGCAGAACAGAAUCUAUUGAGCAUCUGUAGAUCUUCAAUAGAAGAAAUGAUGGAAGAACUGAAGACUUCGAUGGAAUCUAUUACCGAUGACGACGCCUCCUAUCUUCAUUGGUGACAGUAGUGUCAAUCAACAACAUGAAAGGUUAAUAUUCUUCUCUGUAAAAUUCCAUCUCUUCUUCUACAAUUUACAAACACCGUUGCUCUUCUUAGAUUUCUCCUAUAAAUGCAAUCUCAACAAAAGCUAUUCACGUUUUCCUAAAGUCAGUUCUUUCAGCUAACCAUUUGAAUGCAGUUUUUGUUAACCUUCAUGCAAAAAAUAGACGAUUACUAUCGAACUAUUUCGAUGAUUUUAGUUUACUUCACUAUUGCAUCAUGACUCCGUAACUACUGUCUCCUCAACUAUGUCAGCUUUCCUAGUAACUACUAUUUUGAUGGUCAUAGAUGAGAUUGACUACAGUUCAACUACGGCACCAAUAAAAAAGAAGAGCAUGUUACCUGAAAUUUGUGUGACAACCUGCACCAUUCCAGUCCCCCUAUCCAUACAAUAAAAAGACUCAGAAUUGUUCAAGAUAUGCAGGUAAUUCUUGUUUCUGCAUUAAGACGCAAGUACCUCGAUUGGUUUUGGAUCAAGAGAGAGUAUGACACCCG
rnacentral:lncRNA from 1 species